UACGAAGGGGGCUAGCGUUGCUCGGAAUUACUGGGCGUAAAGCGCACGUAGGCGGAUUGUUAAGUCGGGGGUGAAAUCCUGGAGCUCAACUCCAGAACUGCCUUCGAUACUGGCGAUCUCGAGUUCGGGAGAGGUGAGUGGAACUGCGAGUGUAGGGGUGAAAUUCGUAGAUAUUCGCAAGAACACCAGUGGCGAAGGCGGCUCACUGGCCCGGAACUGACGCUGAGGUGCGAAAGCGUGGGGAGCAAACAGG
rnacentral:rRNA from 1 species